rnacentral:rRNA from 1 species
GUCUAUGGCCAUGCUACCCUGAACAAGCCCAAUCCGGUCUGAUCUCAGAACCUAAGCAGGGUCGGGCCUGGUUAGUACUUGGAUGGGAGACCACCUAGGAAGACCCGGUUCUGUAGGUG